UAAUCUGUUUAGAGUAGAUCAUUAUUUAUUUAUGGCAAACUCAUACUUGAUUGCUCAGAAUCACCUAUUAUCACAAAUCUAAUUACAUAUUAAUUAUUCGGUUAGGUAUUCUGAUUAGAAA
rfam:Populus trichocarpa scaffold_10_contig_6, whole genome shotgun sequence.